UAGGGAAUCUUCCGCAAUGGGCGAAAGCCUGACGGAGCAACGCCGCGUGAGUGAUGAAGGUCUUCGGAUCGUAAAACUCUGUUAUUAGGGAAGAACAUAUGUGUAAGUAACUGUGCACAUCUUGACGGUACCUUAUCAGAAAGCCACGGCUAACUACGUGCCAGCAGCCGCGGUAAUACGUAGGUGGCAAGCGUUAUCCGGAAUUAUUGGGCGUAAAGCGCGCGUAGGCGGUUUUUUAAGUCUGAUGUGAGAGCCCACGGCUCAACCGUGGAGGGUCAUUGGAAACUGGAAAACUUGAGUGCAGAAGAGGAAAGUGGAAUUCCAUGUGUAGCGGUGAAAUGCGCAGAGAUAUGGAGGAACACCAGUGGCGAAGGCGACUUUCUGGUCUGUAACUGACGCUGAUGUGCGAAAGCGUGGGGAUCAAACAGGAUUAGAUGCCCUGGUAGUCCACGCCGUAAACGAUGAGUGCUAAGUGUUAGGGGGUUUCCGCCCCUUAGUGCUGCAGCUAACGCAUUAAGCACUCCGCCUGGGGAGUACGACCGCAAGGUUG
rnacentral:rRNA from 1 species